rnacentral:rRNA from 1 species
UUCGGUACAUCGGUGACAGGUGGUGCAUGGUUGUCGUCAGCUCGUGUCGUGAGAUGUUGGUUAAGUCCCGCAACGAGCGCAACCCCUAUUGUUAGUUGCCAUCAUUCAGUUGGGCACUCUAGCGAGACUGCCGGUAAUAAACCGGAGGAAGGUGGGGAUGACGUCAAAUCAUCAUGCCCCUUAUGACCUGGGCUACACACGUGCUACAAUGGUUGGUACAACGAGUUGCGAGUCGGUGACGGCGAGCUAAUCUCUUAAAGCCAAUCUCAGUUCGGAUUGUAGGCUGCAACUCGCCUACAUGAAGUCGGAAUCGCUAGUAAUCGCGGAUCAGCACGCCGCGGUGAAUACGUUCCCGGGCCUU